GACGAACGCUGGCGGCGUGCUUAACACAUGCAAGUCGAGCGGAAAGGCCACUUCGGUGGUACUCGAGCGGCGAACGGGUGAGUAACACGUGAGUAAUCUGCCCCUGGCUUUGGGAUAGCCACCGGAAACGGUGAUUAAUACCGGAUAUGACACUGGACUGCAUGGUUUGGUGUGGAAAGUUUUUCGGCCAGGGAUGUGCUCGCGGCCUAUCAGCUUGAUGGUGAGGUAAUGGCUCACCAUGGCUUCGACGGGUAGCCGGCCUGAGAGGGUGACCGGUCACACUGGGACUGAGACACGGCCCAGACUCCUACGGGAGGCAG
rnacentral:rRNA from 1 species